AUUGAACGCUGGCGGUAUGCCUUACACAUGCAAGUCGAACGGCAACACAUUAAGAUCUUGCUCGUCGGGCGGGCGAGUAACGUACCGGUGCGUGAUCAGUCGGAGUGGACUUUUUCGUGGAAGAUCACGUAGUGAAACUUACGCUAAUACGGCAUACGAGCGACGUGGGAAAACCUCGCAUCUUUGGACCUUCCGCUAUCGGAUUAGGUAGUUGGGGAGGUAAAGGCUCACCAAGGCGACGAUCCGUAGCUGGUCUGAGAGGAGGACCAGCCACACUGGAACUGAGACACGGUCCAGACUCCUACGGGAGGCAGCAGUGGGGAAUAUUGGACAAUGGGCGCAAGCCUGAUCCAGCCAUACCGCGUGCGUGAAGAAGGCCUUCGGGUUGUAAAGCCCUUUUGUUAGGAAAGAAAAGCAGCAGGUUAAUACCCCGCUGUCAUGACGGUACCCAAAGAAUAAGCACCGGCUAACUUCGUG
rnacentral:rRNA from 1 species